rnacentral:rRNA from 1 species
UACGAAGGGGGCUAGCGUUGUUCGGAAUUACUGGGCGUAAAGCGAACGUAGGCGGUGUUCCAUGUCAGAGGUGAAAGCCUGGGCUCAACUCCAGAAUUGCCUUUGAAACGGGGACGCUUGAGUCCGAGAGAGGAUGGCGGAAUUCCGUAGUGUAGAGGUGAAAUUCGUAGAUAUUAGGAAGAACACCGGUGGCGAAGGCGGCCAUCUGGCUCGGUACUGACGCUCAGGUUCGAAAGCGUGGGGAGCAAACAGGG